AUUCCAGCUCCGAUGGCGUAUAUUAAAGUUGUUGCAGUUAAAAAGCUCGUAGUUGGAUUUCUGGCGGGAGCGACCGGUCGGCCCUUGUGGUGUGUACUAGCGUUGCGUCCGGCCAUAUUUGCGGAGAGCGUGUGUGGCAUUAAUUUGUCGUGCACGGGACCCGCAUCGUUUACUGUGAGAAAAUUAGAGUGUUCAAAGCAGGCUUAUGCCUUGGAUAUGUUAGCAUGGAAUAAUAAGAUAAGACUUUGGCGGUCUAUUUUGUUGGUUUGCACGCCAUUGUAAUGAUUGAUAGGGACAGUUGGGGGUAUUCAUAUUUAAUUGUCAGAGGUGAAAUUCUUGGAUUUAUGAAAGAUGAACUACUGCGAAAGCAUUUACCAAGGAUGUUUUCAUUA
rnacentral:rRNA from 1 species